rnacentral:rRNA from 1 species
GGUCAAGUGAAGAAGCGCAUACGGUGGAUGCCUUGGCAGUCAGAGGCGAUGAAAGACGUGGUAGCCUGCGAAAAGCUUCGGGGAGUCGGCAAACAGACUUUGAUCCGGAGAUGUCUGAAUGGGGGAACCCAGCCAUCACAAGAUGGUUAUCUUGUACUGAAUACAUAGGUGCAAGAGGCGAACCAGGGGAACUGAAACAUCUAAGUACCCUGAGGAAAAGAAAUCAACCGAGAUUCCCUUAGUAGUGGCGAGCGAACGGGGACUAGCCCUUAAGUGGCUUUGAGAUUAGCGGAACGCUCUGGAAAGUGCGGCCAUAGUGGGUGAUAGCCCUGUACGCGAAAAUCUCUUGGUCAUGAAAUCGAGUAGGACGGAGCACGAGAAACUUUGUCUGAAUAUGGGGGGACCAUCCUCCAAGGCUAAAUACUACUGACUGACCGAUAGUGAACUAGUACCGUGAGGGAAAGGCGAAAAGAACCCCGGAGAGGGGAGUGAAAUAGAUCCUGAAACCGUAUGCGUACAAGCAGUGGGAGCAGACUUUGUUCUGUGACUGCGUACCUUUUGUAUAAUGGGUCAGCGACUUAUUUUCAGUGGCGAGCUUAACCGAAUAGGGGAGGCGUAGCGAAAGCGAGUCUUAAUAGGGCGUCUAGUCGCUGGGAAUAGACCCGAAACCGGGCGAUCUAUCCAUGGGCAGGUUGAAGGUUAGGUAACACUGACUGGAGGACCGAACCGACUACCGUUGAAAAGUUAGCGGAUGACCUGUGGAUCGGAGUGAAAGGCUAAUCAAGCUCGGAGAUAGCUGGUUCUCCUCGAAAGCUAUUUAGGUAGCGCCUCAUGUAUCACUGUAGGGGGUAGAGCACUGUUUCGGCUAGGGGGUCAUCCCGACUUACCAAACCGAUGCAAACUCCGAAUACCUACAAGUGCCGAGCAUGGGAGACACACGGCGGGUGCUAACGUCCGUCGUGAAAAGGGAAACAACCCAGACCGUCAGCUAAGGUCCCAAAGUUAUGGUUAAGUGGGAAACGAUGUGGGAAGGCUUAGACAGCUAGGAGGUUGGCUUAGAAGCAGCCACCCUUUAAAGAAAGCGUAAUAGCUCACUAGUCGAGUCGGCCUGCGCGGAAGAUGUAACGGGGCUCAAACCAUACACCGAAGCUACGGGUAUCACGUAAGUGAUGCGGUAGAGGAGCGUUCUGUAAGCCUGUGAAGGUGAGUUGAGAAGCUUGCUGGAGGUAUCAGAAGUGCGAAUGCUGACAUGAGUAACGACAAUGGGUGUGAAAAACACCCACGCCGAAAGACCAAGGUUUCCUGCGCAACGUUAAUCGACGCAGGGUUAGUCGGUCCCUAAGGCGAGGCUGAAAAGCGUAGUCGAUGGAAAACAGGUUAAUAUUCCUGUACUUCUGGUUAUUGCGAUGGAGGGACGGAGAAGGCUAGGCCAGCUUGGCGUUGGUUGUCCAAGUUUAAGGUGGUAGGCUGGAAUCUUAGGUAAAUCCGGGAUUCUAAGGCCGAGAGCUGAUGACGAGUUGCCUUUAGGCGACGAAGUGGUUGAUGCCAUGCUUCCAAGAAAAGCUUCUAAGCUUCAGAUAACCAGGAACCGUACCCCAAACCGACACAGGUGGUUGGGUAGAGAAUACCAAGGCGCUUGAGAGAACUCGGGUGAAGGAACUAGGCAAAAUGGCACCGUAACUUCGGGAGAAGGUGCGCCGGUGAGGGUGAAGCACUUGCUGCGUAAGCCCACGCCGGUCGAAGAUACCAGGCCGCUGCGACUGUUUAUUAAAAACACAGCACUCUGCAAACACGAAAGUGGACGUAUAGGGUGUGACGCCUGCCCGGUGCCGGAAGGUUAAUUGAUGGGGUUAGCUAACGCGAAGCUCUUGAUCGAAGCCCCGGUAAACGGCGGCCGUAACUAUAACGGUCCUAAGGUAGCGAAAUUCCUUGUCGGGUAAGUUCCGACCUGCACGAAUGGCGUAACGAUGGCGGCGCUGUCUCCACCCGAGACUCAGUGAAAUUGAAAUCGCUGUGAAGAUGCAGUGUAUCCGCGGCUAGACGGAAAGACCCCGUGAACCUUUACUAUAGCUUUGCACUGGACUUUGAAUUUGCUUGUGUAGGAUAGGUGGGAGGCUUUGAAGCGUGGACGCCAGUUCGCGUGGAGCCAUCCUUGAAAUACCACCCUGGCAACUUUGAGGUUCUAACUCAGGUCCGUUAUCCGGAUCGAGGACAGUGUAUGGUGGGUAGUUUGACUGGGGCGGUCUCCUCCUAAAGAGUAACGGAGGAGUACGAAGGUGCGCUCAGACCGGUCGGAAAUCGGUCGUAGAGUAUAAAGGCAAAAGCGCGCUUGACUGCGAGACAGACACGUCGAGCAGGUACGAAAGUAGGUCUUAGUGAUCCGGUGGUUCUGUAUGGAAGGGCCAUCGCUCAACGGAUAAAAGGUACUCCGGGGAUAACAGGCUGAUACCGCCCAAGAGUUCAUAUCGACGGCGGUGUUUGGCACCUCGAUGUCGGCUCAUCACAUCCUGGGGCUGAAGCCGGUCCCAAGGGUAUGGCUGUUCGCCAUUUAAAGUGGUACGCGAGCUGGGUUUAGAACGUCGUGAGACAGUUCGGUCCCUAUCUGCCGUGGACGUUUGAGAUUUGAGAGGGGCUGCUCCUAGUACGAGAGGACCGGAGUGGACGAACCUCUGGUGUUCCGGUUGUCACGCCAGUGGCAUUGCCGGGUAGCUAUGUUCGGGAAAGAUAACCGCUGAAAGCAUCUAAGCGGGAAACUUGCCUCAAGAUGAGAUCUCACUGGAACCUUGAGUUCCCUGAAGGGCCGUCGAAGACUACGACGUUGAUAGGUUGGGUGUGUAAGCGCUGUGAGGCGUUGAGCUAACCAAUACUAAUUGCCCGUGAGGCUUGACCAU